UCGGGUAUGGUGUAACGGCUAACAUUGCCGCCUCUCAUAGUAUAUUUGAGACUCCUACGCGGCAGCUCGGGGUUCGAUUCCCCGUACCCGAA
rnacentral:tRNA from 1 species